AUCGCUUCUCGGCCUUUUGGCUAAGAUCAAGUGUAAUUAUGGGACUUUUUUUUUUACUUUGAAAUUUUAUUGUUUACCCAGUUGCUUAGCUUAGAGAAAUAAAAUCUCAGUGGAAAUGCAGCUUUUAAAUUUUCAUUGAAAUGAUU
rnacentral:snRNA from 1 species